AGAGGACGUCAGCAAUCCUGACUUAUCCAUAUAAUAGUAGGAUAUUCCUGGUAUUGUAUAACUAGUACUUGUCCUACUGGACUGCACCUAGACUUUAUGCUCUGACUAGGAGUGUUACUGUUGUACUUAACUCCUACCACUUUCUGUUUCGAAGUGCACGCUAGUAUUAUGGUUUUUAAUUAUUUGUAUGUUUGCUAUAUUUAUCGCUUCCGCACUGUGCACAUGGCUAUGUCACUCUCACGUGACGGCCAGCAUGCCUUGACCUCGGUCGGGGUGUGUCAGUUUAGUAUCAGAGCCUAGGUUUAGCAGUCCUGUAUAAUUCUU
rnacentral:lncRNA from 1 species